rnacentral:rRNA from 1 species
UGGGGAAUUUUGGACAAUGGGCGCAAGCCUGAUCCAGCAAUGCCGCGUGCAGGAUGAAGGCCUUCGGGUUGUAAACUGCUUUUGUACGGAACGAAAAGCCUCUCUCUAAUACAGGGGGGUGAUGACGGUACCGUAAGAAUAAGCACCGGCUAACUACGUGCCAGCAGCCGCGGUAACACGUAGGGUGCAAGCGUUAAUCGGAAUUACUGGGCGUAAAGCGUGCGCAGGCGGUUUUGUAAGACAGUGGUGAAAUCCCCGGGCUCAACCUGGGAACUGCCAUUGUGACUGCAAGGCUGGAGUGCGGCAGAGGGGGAUGGAAUUCCGCGUGUAGCAGUGAAAUGCGUAGAUAUGCGGAGGAACACCGAUGGCGAAGGCAAUCCCCUGGGCCUGCACUGACGCUCAUGCACGAAAGCGUGGGGAGCAAACAGGAUUAGAUACCCUGGUAGUCCACGCCCUAAACGAUGUCAACUGGUUGUUGGGG